GAGGGGGAAAAGACAAGGCUGAUUGGUUCCCAUGUGGGAUUGUUUAGCUGUCAUAGCUGUAAAAUUUGCUGUUAUAUGAAGUAUGGAGAUAGGAAUGAAGCAUUGCUAAUCAUGCUUUGCCUCUCCUUCUUCCUAACUUCUCCCCUCUCCCUCUACUUCUCUCUCUACCCUUCUAGUCAUGUGAUUGCAUCUCCUAUCCACCUAUGAGCAAAACGUAUCCCCACCCAAUUA
rnacentral:misc_RNA from 1 species